rnacentral:rRNA from 1 species
UACGUAGGGUGCAAGCGUUAAUCGGAAUUACUGGGCGUAAAGCGUGCGCAGGCGGCUAUGCAAGACAGAUGUGAAAUCCCCGGGCUCAACCUGGGAACUGCAUUUGUGACUGCAUGGCUAGAGUACGGUAGAGGGGGAUGGAAUUCCGCGUGUAGCAGUGAAAUGCGUAGAUAUGCGGAGGAACACCGAUGGCGAAGGCAAUCCCCUGGACCUGUACUGACGCUGAGGAGCGAAAGCUAGGGGAGCAAACGGG